rnacentral:rRNA from 1 species
GCGCGAAAACUGCACAAUGUGGGAAACCACGAUGCGGGAAACCCAAGUGCCAGCGCUAUGCGUUGGCUGUCCUCCAGUGUUCGUAACUGGGGAAGAAAGUGCUGGGUAAGACGGGUGCCAGCCGCCGCGGUAAUACCCGCAGCACAAGUGGUGGUCAUUAUUAUUGGGCCUAAAGCGUCCGUAGCUGGCCUGUUAGAUGCCUGGGUAAAUCGAUGCGCUCAACGCAUCGAACUCCGGGUAGACCGGCAGGCUUGGGACCGGGAGAGAUGUGAGCUACUCGAGGGGUAGGGGUAAAAUCCUGUAAUCCUUCGGGGAGGACCAGUGGCGAAGGCGUCACAUUAGAACGGCUCCGACAGUGAGGGACGAAGCCCUGGGGCGCAAACCGGAUUAGAUACCCGGGUAGUCC